rnacentral:rRNA from 1 species
CUAUGCGCCUUGCCAGCCCGCUCAGGUGUGCCAGCCGCCGCGGUAAUACGUAGGUGGCGAGCGUUAUCCGGAAUGAUUGGGCGUAAAGGGUGCGCAGGCGGUCCUGCAAGUCUGGAGUGAAACGCAUGAGCUCAACUCAUGCAUGGCUUUGGAAACUGGAGGACUGGAGAGCAGGAGAGGGCGGUGGAACUCCAUGUGUAGCGGUAAAAUGCGUAGAUAUAUGGAAGAACACCAGUGGCGAAGGCGGCCGCCUGGCCUGUUGCUGACGCUGAGGCACGAAAGCGUGGGAUCAAACAGG